AUAGCUUUGGUCUUGUCCUGUUGAACUCGUAACUGGGUGGAAGCCUAUUGAUCAUACUCUGUCGUGUGAGUAGCAGAGCCUUGUGACAUGGAUAAGGUGAAGCAUUUCGUUGAUGCUAAGUUAAAUGGAGAAUAGCCUUCUACGGCAGUUGCAAAGGUACUGAAGAUGGUAACUUUGGCUGAAAAUAAUACAUCAAAUUCAAGUUUUCUUGGUGGAAGAACAAAGGAUUGUGAAGAAGGUUUUGAAGAUCUAGAAAGCAAAGGAAAAUCAAUCUUCAAGGAGCUAGAAAGCGAGAGGGUGAAAGCAAAACUUUUUGGAUUUUAAGAAAUGAAUGAGAAAGUGGAAAAGCUUCUUUCUUUGUAUUGAAUUCCCUAUUUUUAUUGGGUUUGAAUUGACAAAAUUACUUAUACA